GUUACUACGGCGUCGUUUUGUUAUUGGCAACUGAAGUCGAAGGCAACCAAAAAACGACAUCUACAACAUUCUUUAUGCACGACGGAGUGAUCUCACAUCCCGAUCCGUCUCCCCGCGAAAGCAGAGCCCUUUGGUCAAAGACUAUAGCAAUAUGUACCAGUGGAGGAAGUUCGAAUUCUUCGAGGAAAAAUACGGAGGUAAGAGCACGAUUCCGGAGGAUGUUACGGGAAAGAUCACGUGCUGCUCAAGUGGCAGAGGCAAGGUAGUGAUCGGCUGCGACGACGGCGCCGUAAGCCUCCUCGAUCGAGGCAUCAAGUUCAAUUUCGGAUUUCAAGCUCAUUCCUCUUCUGUCCUAUACCUCCAGCAGCUCAAGCAAAGGAACUUUCUGGUAACUGUUGGAGAAGAUGAAAAGAUAUCGCCACAACAAUCGUCUACCUGUCUCAAGGUUUUUGACCUUGAUAAAAUGGAACCGGAGGGAACUAGCACGACAAGUCCUGAUUGUAUUGGAAUUUUGCGAAUAUUUACUAAUCAGUUUCCUGAAGCUAAGAUAACUUCAUUUCUAGUACUAGAAGAACCUCCACCGAUACUUCUUAUAGCUAUUGGUUUAGAUAAUGGUUUUAUUUACUGCAUCAAAGGAGAUAUUGCAAGGGAGCGUAUUACUCGUUUCAAACUUCAGGUGGAUAAUCAGAAUGACAAAAGUCAAUGCUCUAUCAUGGGAUUAGGGUUCAGAGUGGAUGGUCAAGCUCUUCAGUUGUUUUCUGUGACUCCAAAUUCAGUGUGCUUGUUCAGCUUGCAGAACCAACCACCUAGGAGGCAAGUCCUGGAUCAGACUGGAAGCAAUGCCAAUAGUGUUGCAAUGAGUGAUCGCUCGGAGUUGAUAAUUGGUCGAUCUGAAGCUGUGUAUUUUUAUGAUGUUGACGGACGUGGUCCUUGUUGGGCUUUUGAAGGAGAGAAAAAGUUUUUAGGAUGGUUUCGUGGAUACCUUUUAUGUGUCAUUGCAGAUCAAAGAAAUGACAAGAAUACCUUCAAUGUUUAUGACCUGAAGAAUCGUUUGAUAGCCCACAGUCUAGUGGUUAAAGAGGUUUCUUGCAUGCUAUGUGAGUGGGGCAAUAUAAUACUUAUAUUGAGAGACAAGUCAGUUCUGUGUAUUGGGGAGAAGGAUAUGGAAAGUAAAUUAGAUAUGCUCUUUAAGAAAAACCUUUAUACAGUGGCUAUCAAUCUUGUUCAAAGUCAGCAAGCUGAUCCUGCUGCAACUGCAGAAGUAUUAAGGAAAUAUGGAGAUCAUCUGUAUAGCAAGCAGGAUUAUGAUGAAGCCAUGGCACAGUACAUUAACACCAUCGGUCACCUUGAACCGUCAUAUGUAAUACAGAAGUUUCUUGAUGCACAGAGAAUCUAUAACCUUACAAAUUACUUGGAAAAGUUGCAUGAAAAGGGGCUUGCUUCUAAAGAUCACACCACUCUUUUGUUAAACUGCUAUACCAAAUUGAAAGAUGUUGAAAAGUUGAAUUUAUUUAUUAAAAGCGAGGAUGGUGUUGGGGAACAUAAGUUUGAUGUUGAGACUGCUAUAAGGGUCUGCCGUGCUGCCUCUUACCAUGAGCAUGCGAUGUAUGUUGCUAAGAAAGCUGGGAGGCAUGAGUUGUACUUAAAGAUUUUACUUGAGGACCUUGGUAGAUAUGAUGAAGCCUUGCUAUAUAUCACAAGCCUUGAACCUAGUCAAGCUGGGGUGACUGUGAAAGAAUAUGGUAAGAUUCUCAUAGAGCAUAAGCCGGUGGAGACAAUUGACAUUCUCAUGACCCUCUGUACUGAGGAUGGAGAAUUUAAUAAAAGAGGAACUUCAAGCAGCACAUACAUAUCUAUGUUGCCAUCUCCUGUUGAUUUUCUCAAUAUUUUUGUCCAUCACCCUCAGUCCCUUAUGGAUUUUCUUGAAAAAUAUACAAACAAGGUGAAAGAAUCGCCUGCUCAAGUAGAAAUUAAUAACACUCUCUUGGAGUUAUACCUGUCCAAUGAGUUGAACUUUCCAUCAAUCUCACAAGGCAGCAGUGGGGUAGAUCUUAGUCUUGGAGCAAGAUCAGGAUCAUCUGUGGCUUCAAAAGCAAAGUCCAAUGGAAAAUUAACUGCUGAUCCUAAAGACAUAUAUAAGGAUAAGGACCACUUGGAAAGGCAUGAGAAGGGGCUACAAUUACUUAAGAAUGCAUGGCCGUCUGACAUGGAACAUUCACUUUAUGAUGUUGAUCUGGCAAUAAUUCUUUGUGAAAUGAAUGCAUUUAAAGAAGGGCUUUUGUUUUUGUAUGAGAAAAUGAAACUUUAUAAAGAGGUAAUUGCUUGCUACAUGCAGGCCCAUGAUCAUGACGGUUUGAUUGCUUGCUGCAAAAGGCUGGGGGAUUCAGGUAAAGGAGGGGAUCCGACUCUUUGGGCGGAUCUGCUGAAGUAUUUUGGUGAACUUGGAGAAGACUGCUCCAAAGAAGUGAAGGAAGUUUUGACAUAUAUUGAAAGAGAUGACAUCUUGCCUCCUAUUAUUGUUCUUCAGACUCUGUCCAGGAAUCCAUGUCUCACACUCUCUGUCAUAAAGGAUUACAUUGCUCGAAAGCUUGAACAGGAAUCAAAGUUAAUUGAAGAUGACCGGCGAGCUAUUGACAAUUAUCAGGAAGAUACUUCUGCUAUGAGAAAAGAAAUUCAGGAUCUAAGGACAAAUGCCAGAAUCUUUCAGCUUAGCAAGUGCACCGCAUGCACUUUCACCCUUGAUCUUCCUGCUGUGCACUUUAUGUGUAUGCACUCUUUCCAUCAGCGGUGCCUUGGUGACAAUGAAAAAGAAUGUCCGGAAUGUGCUGCAGAGUAUAGAUCUGUUAUGGAAAUGAAGAGAGGCUUGGAACAGAAUUCCAAAGAUCAAGAUCGGUUUUUCCAGCAAGUGAAGAGCUCAAAGGAUGGGUUUUCUGUGAUUGCUGAGUAUUUUGGGAAAGGGAUCAUUAGUAAAACCAGUAAUGGACGACCCUCAGGCACUCUAAGGUCAGGGAGCACCUCUUCUAGCAACGGAUUCUGAGGAUGGCAGUUCUCUAAAGAGAAUUCAAAAUUACUCCACCGAAGAAAUAUCAAAUGAAAAGACUCUGAGGGCUUUCAUUGCGGCAAUCAUCAUUUCUUAGAAACUCAAGUCAACAUUUAACUAGCCUUGUCAGUGUCACCCCUCCCACAACACCAGACCCUGUCACCCUCCCUAUCACCACCAAGUUGUUGCUUUGGGCUUGAACCCUUCAUUUUUCACCAGCCUCUCUAAUUCCGUCACAUUUUUCCCAACCUCCAUAUGUCCAGAUUCGGUGUCACAUUGAUUGCCGUUGCGAGGCACAAUAUUGCACUGACUGGCGCAUUCAUAUAUUGCUCCAUGAAAAGUGUAUGUGUUGGAUGAUCUCUCCCUCGUCCGCAACGUUGUCGUCAUCCAAAAACAAACUCCUGCACUCUCCAUUGUCUCAUCCAAAGUCUCCCACUUGUCCUUGUCAAAUCCUAAGCCCAAAAUCGCUUUCUCUUCCUUACAAACUCUGAUCUCCUCUUCGUUCCCCUUUGGGCCUCCUCCUUUUGUGAUAACAAAAACAAAAUUCUAUACAACAUCUCUUCUUCCUUCGAUUUUAUCUCCUCUCUAACUUAGCCAAAUAUAAGUUAACUAAUGAAAGAGUUGGUGGCUGCAAAGUGGGUUAAACAUCAUAGAUAAGUACUAAAAGAGGUGGUAGAGGUUGAGGUGACCUUGAAUUGAGUCAAACAUUUGGGAAAAUCCUCCUUGAGGAGGAGGUGAUAAUUGUGAGAUUGGAUUUGUAUUAAUUUUAUUUGUUACAAGUUAUAGAAAUUGAAAUGUUUGGCUAAUGAGAAAAUGUGGGAAUAUAACGAACAAAAUAGAGUUGUA